GAUGAACGCUGGCGGCGUGCCUAACACAUGCAAGUCGAGCGAACGGACGAGGAGCUUUCUCCUCUUACGUUGGCGACGGACGGGUGAGUAACACGUGGAUAACCUACCUAUAAGACUGGGAUAACUUCGGGAACCCGGAUCCAAUACCGGAUAAUAUAUUGAACCGCAUGGUUCAAUGGUGCAAGAGGGUUUUGCUGUCACUAUUAGAUGGUUCCGCGCCGCAUUAGCUAGUUGGUAAGGUAACGGCUUACCAAGGCAACGAUGCGUAGCUGACCUGAGAGGGUGAUCAGCCACACUGGAACUGAGACACGGUCCAGACUCCUACGGGAGGCAGCAGUGGGGAAUAUUGCACAAUGGGCGAAAGCCUGACGGAGCCACGCCGCGUGAGUGAAGAAGGUCUUCGGAUCGUAAAACUCUGUUAUUAGGGAAGAACGAAUGUGUGAGUAACUAUGGACGUCUUGGCGGUACCUAAACAGAAAGCAACGGCUAACUACGUG
rnacentral:rRNA from 1 species